AUUGAACGCUGGCGGCAGGCUUAACACAUGCAAGUCGAGCGGUAACAGAGAGAAGCUUGCUUCUCUGCUGACGAGCGGCGGACGGGUGAGUAAUGCCUAGGAAUCUGCCUAGUAGUGGGGGAUAACUUGCCGAAAGGUAAGCUAAUACCGCAUACGUCCUACGGGAGAAAGGAGGGGACCUUCGGGCCUUUCGCUAUUAGAUGAGCCUAGGUCGGAUUAGUUAGUUGGUGAGGUAAUGGCUCACCAAGACCGCGAUCCGUAACUGGUCUGAGAGGAUGAUCAGUCACACUGGAACUGAGACACGGUCCAGGCUCCUACGGGAGGCAGCAGUAGGGAAUAUUGGACAAUGGGGGGAACCCUGAUCCAGCCAUGCCGCGUGUGUGAAGAAGGUCUUAGGAUUGUAAAGCACUUUAAGUUGGGAGGAAGAGCAGUUAACUAAUAUCUGACUGUUUUGACGUUACCGACAGAAUAAGCACCGGCUAACUUCGUGCCAGCAGCCGCGGUAA
rnacentral:rRNA from 1 species